rnacentral:rRNA from 1 species
AGAGUUUGAUCCUGGCUCAGGAUGAACGCUGGCGGUCUGCUUAACACAUGCAAGUCGAACGGAAUCCUUCGGGAUUUAGUGGCGGACGGGUGAGUAACACGUGAGAAUCUGCACUCAGGAUGGGGACAACAGCGGGAAACUGCUGCUAAUACCCAAUGUGCCGAAUUGGUGAAAGAUUUAUCGCCUGAGAAUGAGCUCGCGCCCGAUUAGCUAGUUGGUGAGGUAAGGGCUCACCAAGGCGACGAUCGGUAGCUGGUCUGAGAGGAUGAUCAGCCACACUGGGACUGAGACACGGCCCAGACUCCUACGGGAGGCAGCAGUGGGGAAUAUUGGACAAUGGGCGCAAGCCUGAUCCAGCAAUGCCGCGUGUGUGAAGAAGGCCUGCGGGUUGUAAAGCACUUUCAGUGGGGAAGAACAAGGGUGUGUUAAUACCACAUUCGCUUGACGUUACCCACAGAAGAAGCACCGGCUAACUCCGUGCCAGCAGCCGCGGUAAUACGGAGGGUGCGAGCGUUAAUCGGAAUCACUGGGCGUAAAGCGCGCGUAGGCGGCUUAGUC